GAACCUUGUCUGAGAAUUUGGAAGCUGAGACUCUGGCUGUGGAUGAGCAAUCCAGCCCUAAAGAGAAUGAUUCACAUUCCAGUCAGAAUGAGAGUGUGAGGCAGAAUACCACUAUCACUGCAAAAACAUUUGUUGGUGCAGAGAUGGUUGAGGGAAAAACGGUUAAUGUGGUUGAUGGACUCAAAUUGUAUGAACAAUUGCUUGAUGAUGUGGAAGUCUCCAAACUUGUUUCACUGGUUAAUGAUUUGAGAGCUUCAGGGAG
rnacentral:misc_RNA from 1 species